rnacentral:lncRNA from 1 species
AGAAUGCUGACCCCCUGAAGGUGUACCCGCCACUGAAGGGGAGCUUCCCGGAGAACCUGAGACACCUUAAGAACACCAUGGAGACCAUAGACUGGAAGGUCUUUGAGAGCUGGAUGCACCAUUGGCUCCUGUUUGAAAUGAGCAGGCACUCCUUGGAGCAAAAGCCCACUGACGCUCCACCGAAAGAGUCACUGGAACUGGAGGACCCGUCUUCUGGGCUGGGUGUGACCAAGCAGGAUCUGGGCCCAGUCCCCAUGUGAGAGCAGCAGAGGCGGUCUUCAACAUCCUGCCAGCCCCACACAGCUACAGCUUUCUUGCUCCCUUCAGCCCCCAGCCCCUCCCCCAUCUCCCACCCUGUACCUCAUCCCAUGAGACCCUGGUGCCUGGCUCUUUCGUCACCCUUGGACAAGACAAACCAAGUCGGAACAGCAGAUAACAAUGCAGCAAGGCCCUGCUGCCCAAUCUCCAUCUGUCAACAGGGGCGUGAGGUCCCAGGAAGUGGCCAAAAGCUAGACAGAUCCCCGUUCCUGACAUCACAGCAGCCUCCAACACAAGGCUCCAAGACCUAGGCUCAUGGACGAGAUGGGAAGGCACAGGGAGAAGGGAUAACCCUACACCCAGACCCCAGGCUGGACAUGCUGACUGUCCUCUCCCCUCCAGCCUUUGGCCUUGGCUUUUCUAGCCUAUUUACCUGCAGGCUGAGCCACUCUCUUCCCUUUCCCCAGCAUCACUCCCCAAGGAAGAGCCAAUGUUUUCCACCCAUAAUCCUUUCUGCCGACCCCUAGUUCCCUCUGCUCAGCCAAGCUUGUUAUCAGCUUUCAGGGCCAUGGUUCACAUUAGAAUAAAAGGUAGUAAUUAG